UGGGAGCUGGUGCAAUCUGGCAGCACAUCCGGUUCUGACCCGGACGGUUGGAGGUUCGAGUCCUCCGCUCCCAG
rnacentral:tRNA from 1 species